GACGUAGGGCGCGAGCGUUGUCCGGAUUUAUUGGGCGUAAAGAGCUCGUAGGCGGCUUGUCGCGUCGACUGUGAAAACCCGAGGCUCAACUUCGGGCUUGCAGUCGAUACGGGCAGGCUAGAGUUCGGUAGGGGAGACUGGAAUUCCUGGUGUAGCGGUGAAAUGCGCAGAUAUCAGGAGGAACACCGAUGGCGAAGGCAGGUCUCUGGGCCGAUACUGACGCUGAGGAGCGAAAGCGUGGGAGCGAACAGG
rnacentral:rRNA from 1 species